GGCCGGUUAGCUCAGUUGGUUAGAGCGUGGUGCUAAUAACGCCAAGGUCGUGGGUUCGAUCCCCACACGGGCCA
rnacentral:tRNA from 2 species